AGAUUUCUGUGCUUUCAAAGAGAAAAUAGCAGUGGUCAUGCUUGGAGAAGGGAAGUUACUUUGAUGCCACAAAUCAAUAAGAGGCAUUGUUCGGCUAAGUAUGACAGAUAAAUGUGGAGGAAAAAAAAUGCUGUUUCCCAAUCUUAAAAGAAAUCACCAUCACGAGGCAUCCUCAGAACAAAGCAAGACUGAGAAACAAAUGCCCAUUUCUAUCUUCACAUAUAAUUUGCUGGGGGAUUUUUGCAGAAACUAAGGCCUGUUGCUGGUGAUUUGUUAUGCAUGUUUUUACUGGCCUACUUGAA
ensembl:lncRNA